rnacentral:rRNA from 1 species
AACGAACGCUGGCGGCAUGCCUAACACAUGCAAGUCGAACGAGACCUUCGGGUCUAGUGGCGCACGGGUGCGUAACGCGUGGGAACCUGCCCUUAGGUUCGGAAUAACUCCCCGAAAGGGGUGCUAAUACCGGAUAAUGUCUUCGGACCAAAGAUUUAUCGCCUUUGGAUGGGCCCGCGUUGGAUUAGCUAGUUGGUAGGGUAAAAGCCUACCAAGGCGACGAUCCAUAGCUGGUCUGAGAGGAUGAUCAGCCACACUGGGACUGAGACACGGCCCAGACUCCUACGGGAGGCAGCAGUGGGGAAUAGUGGACAAUGGGCGAAAGCCUGAUCCAGCAAUGCCGCGUGAGUGAUGAAGGCCUUAGGGUUGUAAAGCUCUUUUACCCGGGAUGAUAAUGACAGUACCGGGAGAAUAAGCGCCGGCUAACUCCG